rnacentral:rRNA from 1 species
GAUGAACGCUGGCGGCGUGCCUAAUACAUGCAAGUCGAGCGAACGGACGAUAAGCUUGCUGCUCUGAUGUUAGCGGCGGACGGGUGAGUAACACGUGGAUAACCUACCUAUAAGGCUGGGAUAACGUCGAGAAACCGGAGCUAAUACCGGAUAAUAUUUUGAACCGCAUGGUUCAAAAGUUAAAUACGGUCUUGCUGUCACUUAUAGCUGGAUCCGCGCUGCAUUAGCUAGUUGGUAAGGUAACGGCUUACCAAGGCAACGAUGCAUAGCCGACCUGAGAGGGUGAACGGCGCCAGUGGAAGUGAACGACGGUACAGAGUCCUAGGGGAGGCAGAAGUAGGGACUGGUGGGAACAGUGGGAAAUCCUGCAGGAGCAACGCAGGCUGAGUGCUGAAGCUCUGCGGAGCGGAUAAAUCUGUUAGUAUGGAAGACCAUAUGUGUAAGUGACGGAGCAUAUCGUGACGGUACCUAAACAGAAAGCAACGGCUAACUACGUG